rnacentral:lncRNA from 1 species
UUCAAUGUGUUAUAAAUAAAUGAUCAAAAAGGGCUUUUCUUGGGUUGUAAUGAGGGCUCUUUGGUAAGGUGAGUAGUUUUUUAGGCAAAGUGACUCAUCCCACAAUCUAUCAAUCACAAUGAACAAAUCAACUUCACCAUUUCUCUUAUCAAUCAAAAACCAAAAUCCCUACAUUUCAUCUUUUCAUCCUUAGUGAUAUCUAUCAUGGCUAUGAUUCAAAAGGCAAAUCACUCCCCUUUAUGCUCUUUUAUUCACAUUCAUUUUCAUUUCUUUUUCUUUUUGAGCUCAUAGGGGAUUAGUGAUUUUCACACAAUCAAAGCUUGAUAAGCAAUUUCAAUCAUUUCCCAAACUUUUUUCUUCAUCAAAGCAACCACUAACACUCUAAGUUCUACCCCUUUAUCAUUGGUUCAUUCAAAGAAAGGCUACAAGGCACAAAAGGGGUAAACUAGGAUCAUAUGAGAAUU